rnacentral:rRNA from 1 species
CUACGGGUAUCUGCAGUGGGGAAUAUUGGACAAUGGGCGAAAGCCUGAUCCAGCCAUGCCGCGUGUGUGAAGAAGGCCUUCGGGUUGUAAAGCACUUUCAGUGGGGAAGAAAGCCUUGGGGCUAAUACCCUCGAGGAAGGACAUCACCCACAGAAGAAGCACCGGCUAACUCCGUGCCAGCAGCCGCGGUAAUACGGAGGGUGCGAGCGUUAAUCGGAAUUACUGGGCGUAAAGCGCGCGUAGGCGGUCUGAUAAGCCGGUUGUGAAAGCCCCGGGCUCAACCUGGGAACGGCAUCCGGAACUGUCAGGCUAGAGUGCAGGAGAGGAAGGUAGAAUUCCCGGUGUAGCGGUGAAAUGCGUAGAGAUCGGGAGGAAUACCAGUGGCGAAGGCGGCCUUCUGGACUGACACUGACGCUGAGGUGCGAAAGCGUGGGUAGCAAACAGGAUUAGAUACCCUGGUAGUC